rnacentral:lncRNA from 1 species
CAGCUUCUUGGCACGGGCUUGCUCGUCCUUCAUCUCUUUCUGACAUUUCUCCAAUUGGUCUUGCAGAGUCUUGAUCUGGCCUUGGUAGUCAAUCUCCCUCUUGCGGGCUCGGUGUUGGGCUUCGGCUAAUUCUUUUUUCUUGUUUGCAAUGGUCUCAAAAUAUCCUUUUAAGGAAUCUCCCACCUUCAUCCUUUUGUUUUUCUU